rnacentral:rRNA from 1 species
CUACGGGAUGCAGCAGUAGGGAAUCUUCCACAAUGGGCGAAAGCCUGAUGGAGCAACGCCGCGUGAGUGAAGAAGGUUUUCGGAUCGUAAAGCUCUGUUGUAAGGGAAGAACAAGUACAGUAGUAACUGGCUGUACCUUGACGGUACCUUAUUAGAAAGCCACGGCUAACUACGUGCCAGCAGCCGCGGUAAUACGUAGGUGGCAAGCGUUGUCGGAAUUAUUUGGCGUAAAGCGCGCGCAGGCGGUCCUUUAAGUCUGAUGUGAAAGCCAACGGCUCAACCGUGGAGGGUCAUUGGAAGCUGGGGGACUUGAGUGCAGAAGAGGAAAGUGGAAUUCCAAGUGUAGCGGUGAAAUGCGUAGAGAUUUGGAGGAACACCAGUGGCGAAGGCGACUUUCUGGUCUGUAACUGACGCUGAGGCGCGAAAGCGUGGGGAGCAAACAGGAUUAGAUACCCCUGUAGUC